UACGUAGGGUGCAAGCGUUAAUCGGAAUUACUGGGCGUAAAGCGUGCGCAGGCGGUUAUGCAAGACAGAUGUGAAAUCCCCGGGCUCAACCUGGGAACUGCAUUUGUGACUGCAUGGCUAGAGUGCGGCAGAGGGGGAUGGAAUUCCGCGUGUAGCAGUGAAAUGCGUAGAUAUGCGGAGGAACACCGAUGGCGAAGGCAAUCCCCUGGGCCUGCACUGACGCUCAUGCACGAAAGCGUGGGGAGCGAACAGG
rnacentral:rRNA from 1 species